rnacentral:rRNA from 1 species
GGAGGAAAAGAAAAUAACAAUGAUUUCCCUAGUAACGGCGAGUGAACAGGAAAGAGCUCAAAGUUGGAACCUGUUUGGUUUAGCCAAACCGGAUUGUAAACUGUAGAAGUGUUUUCCUGGCACGCCUGACGAAAAAGUCCAUUGGAACAUGGUGACAUAGAGGGUGAGAGCCCCGUAUUUUGUCAGAGCUGUUGUCUCUUGUGAUACACUUUCAAAGAGUCAGGUUGUUUGGGAAUGCAGCCUAAAUUGGGUGGUAAAUCUCACCUAAAGCUAAAUAUUGGCAAAAGACCGAUAGCGAACAAGUACCGUGAGGGAAAGAUGAAAAGAACUUUGAAAAGAGAGUUAAACAGUAUGUGAAAUUGUUAAAAGGGAACCGUUUGGAGCCAGACUGGCUUGAUUGUAAUCAAUCUAGAUUUCGAUCUGGAUGCACUUGCAGUCUAUGCCUGCCAACGACAAUUCAUUCUGGAGGAAAAAACUAAGUGGAAUGUGGCCCCUCGGGGUGUUAUAGACUCUUAGAAAAUACUCUGGUUUGGAUUGAGGAACGCAGUGAAUGCUAUUUGGCGAAGAUGCUGGGUGCUUUUAUUUUUGUUGUCUAGAAUUUCUGCUUCGGGUGGUGCUAGAUACCACGAGUAAAACUCGCCUAGUAUACU